rnacentral:tRNA from 1 species
GCCGGGGUGGCGAAAUUGGCAUACGCAGCGGACUUAAAAUCCGCCGUCCCGCAAGGGAUUUGUGGGUUCAAAUCCCACCCCCGGCACCA